rnacentral:rRNA from 1 species
UAUGAGAUUGUUUACAAAUUUCUCAAAAUGGUGCUAGUUGCAUUAGCUGGUGUUGAGAGGGUCUUCUCAUCAAUGAUCUAUAUAAAAAACAAGCUAAGAAGCAAGAUGGGGCAAAAAUACUUGAAUGAUUGCUUGGUCACAUUCAUUGAAAGGAGACUUUUCUUGCAAGUUCAGGACGAGGACAUCAUCACUCAUUUUCAAAGCAUCAAGGGUCCGCAAAGUUAUCCUCUACUUUGUAAGGUUUCUUAUGAUUUCAUAUUUCUAUCCUCUAUAUAUCUUAGAUUUUGCCAUGAUAUGUUGAACAAUUCUUACUUUUAUAUGUUGAACAAUACCAAAUUAUGA